GCAUCCUUGGUCUAAUGGAUAUGACAGAGGUCUUCUAAACCUUUAAUACAGGUUCGAUUCCUGUAGGAUGUA
rnacentral:tRNA from 2 species